rnacentral:rRNA from 1 species
UACAGAGGGGGCAAGCGUUGUUCGGAAUUACUGGGCGUAAAGGGCGCGUAGGCGGCCCGCUAAGUCGAACGUGAAAUCCCCGAGCUCAACUCGGGAACUGCGUCCGAUACUGGUGGGCUUGAAUCCGGGAGAGGGAUGCGGAAUUCCAGGUGUAGCGGUGAAAUGCGUAGAGAUCCGGAGGAACACCAGAGGCGAAGGCGGCCUACUGGGCUGCACCUGACGCUGAGCCGCGAAAGCCAGGGGAGCGAACGGG